rnacentral:misc_RNA from 1 species
AAGUCGUAACAAGGUUUCCGUAGGUGAACCUGCGGAAGGAUCAUUAAAGUUUGCUUAAUUGCAUCACACAUGUUUUUAUAGAGAACUUGCUUGCAAGAACACUAAUAAUUUACUGAGUCAACAUGAAAAAAUAUCAAAA